rnacentral:rRNA from 1 species
GACAGAGGUGCCAAGCGUUAGGCGGAAUCACUGGGCUUAAAGCGUGUGUAGGCGGACCGUUAAGUGCCUCGUGAAAUCCCACGGCUCAACCGUGGAACUGCUUGGCAUACUGGCGGUCUUGAGCAACCUAGGGGCGAGCGGAACAAAUGGUGGAGCGGUGAAAUGACGUAGAUAUCAUUUGGAACGCCAAUGGUGAAAACAGCUCGCUGGGGGUUUGCUGACGCUGAGACACGAAAGCCAGGGGAGCAAAGCGGG